rnacentral:lncRNA from 1 species
GUUCUUAUCGCUAUAUUUAGAAAAGAAUAGUGUGUUACUGGGUUAUAUUUCUUCAAAUAGCAAUGGUAAUUUCAUACGGUUUGUUAAGUUUAUGUUUAAAUUUUGUUUUCUUAAGAUUUUGAUUAGUUUAUUUUAAAGUUCAAUUUAUUUGUAAAUUUGUUUUUAGCACGAAUGUUUAAUUUUGGCGCGCUCCCGCUUGGUCUUGCAGACCCCAAAUACCCAGCCUCGUUUCAGUUUGGACCAUGCUUUCC